rnacentral:rRNA from 1 species
CAAUAGCGUAUAUUAAAGUUGUUGCAGUUAAAAAGCUCGUAGUUGAAUCUUGGGAGCGGGUGGGCUAGCGAGCCACAGCCCGUCCCUGCUUCUUGCCUCUCGGUGCCCCCUGGAUGCUCUUAGCUGAGUGUCCUGUGGCCCGAAGCACUUACUUUGAAAAAAUUAGAGUGUUCAAAGCAGGCCCAAGCCGCCUGGAUACUGCAGCUUGGAAUAAUGGAAUAGGACCACAGUUCUAUUUUGUUGGUUUUCGGAACUGAGGCCAUGAUUAAGAGGGACGGCCGGGGGCAUUCAUAUUGCACCGCUAGAGGUGAAAUUCUUGGACUGGCAGUUUAGACCAGAGCGAAANCANNNGCCAAGAAUGUUUUCAUNAA